rnacentral:rRNA from 1 species
GUGGCACACUGCUCAGUAACACGUAGCUAACCUACCCUUAGGACGUGGAUAUCCCCGAGAAAUUGGGGUUAAUCCGCGAUAGAUGUAAUGUCCUGGAAUGGUAUUACGUCUAAAGGUAUUUCAUACAUGUUUGAAAUAUGCCUAAGGAUGGGGCUGCGGCCGAUCAGGCUGUUGGUGAGGUAAUGGCUCACCAAACCUUUGACCGGUACGGGCCAUGAGAGUGGUAGCCCGGAGAUGGACACUGAGACAAGGGUCCAGGCCCUAAGGGGCGCAGCAACCGCGAAACCUCCACAAUGCACUCACGUGCGAUGGGGCUAUCUCGAGUGCCACCUGAUGAAGGUGGCUUUUCCUGGGUCUUCAAAGCCUUGGGAAUAAGAGGGGGGCAAGACUGGUGUCAGCCGCCGCGGUAACACCAGCCCCUCGAGUGGUGGGGAUGAUUAUUUGGCCUAAAGCGUCCGUAGCCGGCCGAGCAAGUCUUCCGUUAAAUCCAGCGCCUCAAGCGUUGGACUGCGGGAAAUACUGCCUGGCUAGAGAGUGGGAGAGGUCAGCGGUAUUCUGGGGUAGGGGCGAAAUCCUUUGAUCCCCGGAGGACCACCAGUGGCGAAGGCUGCUGACUAGAACACGUCUGACGGUCAGGGACGAAAGCUGGGGUAGCGAACCGGAUUAGAUACCCGGGUAGUCCCAGCCGUAAACGAUGCAUGCUAGGUGUUGGGUUGGCCACGAGCCACCCCAGUGCCGCAGGGAAGCCGUUAAGCAUGCCGCCUGGGAAGUACGAUCGCAAGAUUGAAACUUAAAGGAAUUGGCGGGGGAGCACCACCAGGCGUGAAGCCUGCGGUUUAAUUGGAGUCAACGCCGGA